AAAUCUAGUUUUUAUUCAAUCAA
rnacentral:snRNA from 1 species